rnacentral:rRNA from 1 species
CCUACGGGAGGCAGCAGUGGGGAAUCUUGCGCAAUGGGCGAAAGCCUGACGCAGCCAUGCCGCGUGAAUGAUGAAGGUCUUAGGAUUGUAAAAAUUCUUUCACCGGGGACGAUAAUGACGGUACCCGGAGAAGAAGCCCCGGCUAACUUCGUGCCAGCAGCCGCGGUAAUACGAAGGGGGCUAGCGUUGCUCGGAAUUACUGGGCGUAAAGGGAGCGUAGGCGGAUAGUUUAGUCAGAGGUGAAAGCCCAGGGCUCAACCUUGGAAUUGCCUUUGAUACUGGCUAUCUUGAGUAUGGGAGAGGUUAGCGGAACUCCGAGUGUAGAGGUGAAAUUCGUAGAUAUUCGGAAGAACACCAGUGGCGAAGGCGGCUAACUGGCCCAUUACUGACGCUGAGGCUCGAAAGCGUGGGGAGCAAACAGGAUUAGAUACCCUGGUAGUCCACGCCGUAAACGAUGAGUGCUAGUUGUCGGCAUGCAUGCAUGUCGGUGACGCGAGCUACGACAUAAGACACUCCGCCGUCGGGAGGUACGGUCGGCGAGAAGUUAAACGUAACUAAAUAGUUAAGUUAGUACGGUUCGUUGAGACGUUGCCGACGGACGACGACGAGGGGAGGAGG